rnacentral:rRNA from 1 species
GAUGAACGCUGGCGGCGUGCCUAAUACAUGCCAGUCGAGCGAACAGACGAGGAGCUUGCUCCUCUGACGUUAGCGGCGGACGGGUGAGUAACACGUGGAUAACCUACCUAUAAGACUGGGAUAACUUCGGGAAACCGGAGCUAAUACCGGAUAAUAUAUUGAACCGCAUGGUUCAAUAGUGAAAGACGGUUUUGCUGUCACUUAUAGAUGGAUCCGCGCCGCAUUAGCUAGUUGGUAAGGUAACGGCUUACCAAGGCAACGAUGCGUAGCCGACCUGAGAGGGUGAUCGGCCACACUGGAACUGAGACACGGUCCAGACUCCUACGGGAGGCAGCAGUAGGGAAUCUUCCGCAAUGGGCGAAAGCCUGACGGAGCAACGCCGCGUGAGUGAUGAAGGUCUUCGGAUCGUAAAACUCUGUUAUUAGGGAAGAACCAAUGUGUAAGUAACUAUGCACGUCUUGACGGUACCUAAUCAGAAAGCCACGGCUAACUACGUG